GUGGGGGAUAUUGCACAAUGGGGGAAACCCUGAUGCAGCGACGUCGCGUGAGGGAAGACGGUUUUCGGAUUGUAAACCUCUGUCUUCGGGGACGAGUAGAAGACGGUACCCGAGGAGGAAGCCACGGCUAACUACGUGCCAGCAGCCGCGGUAAUACGUAGGUGGCAAGCGUUGUCCGGAAUUACUGGGUGUAAAGGGAGCGUAGGCGGGAGUGCAAGUCAAGUGUCAAAUCUAUCGGCUCAACCGGUAGUCGCGCUUGAAACUGCAUUUCUUGAGUGAAGUAGAGGCAGACGGAAUUCCUAGUGUAGCGUUGAAAUGCGUAGAUAUUAGGAGGAACACCAGUGGCGAAGGCGGUCUGCUGGGCUUUAACUGACGCUGAGGCUCGAAAGCAUGGGUAGCAAACAGGAUUAGAAACCCUGGUAGUCC
rnacentral:rRNA from 1 species